UCCUGCAUAAGAAAUUUCAAUUGCACCUGUAAGGUUGUCCUUCUUCUUUAUCCUCCAGUACCUCGCCCCAGGAACUACCCCAUGACUCCUCUGCUUUACAUCAGGGAUAUAUACAAAGGCUACACAGUAAACUAUGAGUAAGAAACAACCACCAAGGCUCAAAAGAUCUGUCUGCCUUCAUGCACCACCACAUCACAAGUUAAGAGAAAGGAAUGCUAAGAAAACUGGCCUAGAACUCUGGCUCCACCACAUUCUGGAACAAACUGUCCCCAAACCACCUCACCGCAUAAUCUUAAGAAGUCACCUCACUCUCUUGACCACAGGCCCCUCAUUUGUGGAGGGGGAUUUGAAACCAUUUAUCUCAUAAGGUUACCGUGCAGAUUAAAUAAGACAAUGUAGGAAAAACUGUUAGCACAAUAGCAGGUAAAACUGAAACAGAUGGUUACUAAGGAGACUAUCAGCUUUAUGACCUGAAGAAAGCAAAAUUUCACCCUUGGAAAAAAGUCUGCUACCUCACAAGCAAAAUACCUGCCAACCCCAGGCAAGAAAAAAUUCUCCAGAAGAUUGCCUUUGGACUUGAUAUGGAACAUGGCCUUUUCUGUUUCUACAGCAGACAGCCUUUGAAUGUGAACUGGAACAUCAGCUCUCCUGGGUCUCCAGCCUGUUGGCCCAACCUACAGAUUUCGGACUUGCUAGUCUCUAUAAUCAUACAGAAUGAAGAAUAACACACAAGGCUGGCAGAACCAGGCUGCAUUUAUGCAGACAAGACAGUCCCUUGUGCCCAACAAAUAGUUUUGAUCUCUUACAUGUGAAGGUAUUGAGAUUCAGGAGAGUUAAGUGAUAUGAACAAGUCCACCAUGUUCAAUGUGGCACGACAAGUCUUUGGAGUGUGGGUACCUGCCCAACCACGACUUCACCCAUAGCAAGGAUACAAAGUAUGCUGGCUUCAGCUGGGGUUUUCUUGGAAGUGCAGUUUUCCACCUCCUGUGCAUUGACAUUGGGUUUUUUUUAAACGUCUUUAUCAUUUAUCUUUCUUUUUCAUGACUGACUUUAGUGUGUGUAACAUGAAAAGGUAGGAACGGAAUGCUCCCCAUGUGGCAAGACAAGCCGCCCUCUGCGUGAAUGUGACAGGCAGAGUUAUACUGUGUCAUUCUUUACCAAGCACAGAGAAGGACAUAUUUCUCAUUACUACUGCAGUAUCAAAAUACAGCACCACCUGGGCAUGAGACAGAACAGGAAGGAAAAAAGAAGAAAUGCAAGAUUGGGAAUUCUCUACUUGAUUUGCCAUCACUAUCAAUCUCUCUGAGGGCAAAGCACAGGGUCUCCGGGGGCCUUCCUAUUUUUCUUCCUCUCAUCAAGCUCUGCCCUAUCCCUCCAUGUGCUCUGUAGGUGUGCAGGAAACGCUAAAGGAAUUGAAGAAGAAAUACCCAAAUCAUACCCUAGGUUCCGCUUAUCAAAGGUCAACAGCCGCUGUUGCUCAUUCAGUAAAGAUAAUAAGGAAUUUCUCCCAGAAGAUGGCUUUGAUUUAUGGAAACCAUGUGACUGUUAAAAGGCAGAUUAUUUUUAUUUCAGUACUUGAUCCUUUGAUCACAGCUGCCAAAUCCUUAUUGCCAUCUACUCUGCCUAAAAGCGCUCUGUCGGCAUGAACAGGAUUUCUGUUUACACUGCCCAGCAGGGCUGAAGAAAGAGAAAAAGCUGAAAGAUGAAUUAGCUCUCUGCUUAAAGAAAAGUGUGAUCCAAAACUUUGACCAAAGAGCUACAACUGCAAGUCUGAUAAAAUGGAUGGGCAAGACGGGGAGGCUUUACGAUAUUUUUUUGUUUGAAGAGUUGUGAAUAGAACAGUGUACCUGCCUGGCAACCAAGAAUAUAACUACAAUGCAAUGAGGUGGCACACAUGGUCACAGAGUUGGUUCCGGAAAGAACGUGCUUCUAGGAUGGCAAGACCUCCUGCACAGAAGCUGGCAGAAGAGUUGCUUAAACAACAACAGUUCAGUGACUCAUCUGUGUUUUCACAACACGUUUGUACCAGCACCCAUGUCUAUUUGUAGCCUGACAAUAAAGACCCUAUAUGAACUAUC